rnacentral:rRNA from 1 species
AGGACGAACGCUGGCGGCGUGCUUAACACAUGCAAGUCGAACGGUAAGGCCCUUCGGGGUACACGAGUGGCGAACGGGUGAGUAACACGUGGGUGAUCUGCCCUGCACUUCGGGAUAAGCUUGGGAAACUGGGUCUAAUACCGGAUAGGACCACGGUCUGCAUGGAUUGUGGUGGAAAGCUUUUGCGGUGUGGGAUGGGCCCGCGGCCUAUCAGCUUGUUGUGGGGUGAUGGCCUACCAAGGCGACGACGGGUAGCCGGCCUGAGAGGGUGUCCGGCCACACUGGGACUGAGAUACGGCCCAGACUCCUACGGGAGGCAGCAGUGGGGAAUAUUGCACAAUGGGCGCAAGCCUGAUGCAGCGACGCCGCGUGGGGGAUGACGGCCUUCGGGUUGUAAACCUCUUUCAGCAGGGACGAAGGGUGACUGACGGUACCUGUAGAAGAAGCACCGGCCAACUACGUG